GUCUCCACAAGAUGAGAACAGGCCAGCCAUUGCCUGUCAGUGCCUGGCUAGCCAGCCCACCAGUGCCCUGUCUACAAUACCUUGGAUACAUUUUUUUUUAAUAUUUCCUACAACAGGAAGAAGAAGGAGAAGGAGAAGGAGAAGGAGAAGGAGAAGGAGAGGAAGAGGAAGAGGAAGAGGAAGAGGAAGAGGAAGAAGAGGAAGAGGAAGAGGAAGAAGAGGAAGAAGAAGUAGUAGUGGUCAGGAUCAGAGGACUGCCCAGUACCUGGUUCAAUUUAUAUGAACAAUUACAAAAGUAAAGCUGUGAAGACUCUGAGAAGAGAUAGUAAGAUGCCAUAGUGAUUACAGAUACAGCACUGGAACAUGUUGUUGAUGAUAGAGCUGCCCUAUCCCUUUGCUAAGUGCAGUAGGUACAAAAGUCCAUAUAUUUGUCAAAACCUAAUAGAUGCCUUGUAAA